UACGAGAGUCCCGAGCGUUAUCCGGAAUUAUUGGGCGUAAAGGGUGCGUAGGUGGCAUUGCUAGUCGUAUGUUAAAUCCUCGGGCUUAACCCGAGAAUCGCACGCGAAACGGCAAAGCUAGAGAGUGUGAGGGGUAUGGGGAACUCAUGGUGUAGGGGUGAAAUCCGUUGAUAUCAUGGGGAACACCAAAAGCGAAGGCACUAUACUGGCACAUAUCUGACACUCAAGCACGAAAGCGUGGGUAGCGAAUGGG
rnacentral:rRNA from 1 species